UUAGGAGUGAACGCUAGCGGCAGGCUUAACACAUGCAAGUCGAGGGGCGAGCAUAGUAUGUAGCAAUACAUAUUGAUGGCGACCGGCGGAUGGGUGCGUAACGCGUAUGCAACCUACCUUUUACAGGAGGAUAACCUUUCGAAAGGGAGACUAAUACUCCAUAGUAUAUUUAGAGGCAUCUUUAGAUAAUUAAAUAUUUAUAGGUAAAAGCUGGGCAUGCGUAUGAUUAGUUAGUUGGUAAGGUAACGGCUUACCAAGGCGAUGAUCAUUAGGGGUUCUGAGAGGAAGGUCCCCCACACUGGUACUGAGACACGGACCAGACUCCUACGGGGGGCAGCAGUGAGGAAUAUUGGUCAAUGGGCGGAAGCCUGAACCAGCCAUGCCGCGUGCAGGAAGAACCGGCCUUAUGGGUUGUAAACUGCUUUUAUGUGAGGAUAAUAUUCAUCUUGCGAGGUGGAAUGAAGGUAUCACAUGAAUAAGGAUCGGCUAACUCCGUGCCAGCCGCGGC
rnacentral:rRNA from 1 species